CGCCGAAGGUGGGGCUGAUGACUGGGGUGAAGUCGUAACAAGGUAGCCGUACCGGAAGGUGCGGCUGGAUCACCUCCUAACAGGGAGACAAAAACUGAUUGUGAUGUCUAAGUGUUUUAUUCUUAGGCCAUAAUCCUGUCACCUUAGGUCGAUCGGUACCUCAAGUUGAGUAUCUAAAAAAUCGGAUAUUUUUUAUUUUCGUUUUUUGAUUCUUUUUAACUUCAGUUCCUAAACUUUGUCUAGGUCACACCCAACAAGGGUACUCCUGGGCCAUUAGCUCAGGUGGUUAGAGCGCACCCCUGAUAAGGGUGAGGUCCCUGGUUCAAGUCCAGGAUGGCCCAUUCGGUGUUGGGGGUAUAGCUCAGUUGGUAGAGCGCCUGCUUUGCAAGCAGGAUGUCAGCGGUUCGAGUCCGCUUACCUCCACUGAUCGACCUCCUGACAGCGAGAUCGAAGGAGAUUGUCUUUGUAUGAUGUGAUUUAGACGUUGUUUAACUGAAUGACCCCAGCUUCUUAUCGUUCCAAUUCUAUUAAUUUAGAAAGGUUGAUAUGACGCUGGGCUCACUAAAGUUCUUUUGAACUUUAGAUGUGUUCAGUAGAACCUUGACAACUGCAUAGGUGAGUCUGGAAAGAAUAAAGCAUCUCAUGGAUGCAUUGUUCCUAUCAGCAGAUUAUUCUGUUUUUGAUAUGAAUAGUGUUUAAUUCUUGAGCAAUAGCCGAGACUCUAUAAUCUUUUUCUGUAGUUUAAAACUAUGGAAAAAUUGAUAUUAUGGAGAUUAAUUUGGUCAAGCUACAAAGGGCUCAC
rnacentral:misc_RNA from 1 species